rnacentral:rRNA from 1 species
UACAGAGGUCCCGAGCGUUGUUCGGAUUCACUGGGCGUAAAGCGCACGUAGGCGGAUCAGCAAGUUAGGGGUGAAAUCCCGGGGCUCAACCCCGGAACUGCCUUUAAGACUGUUGGUCUGGAGUCCGAGAGAGGUGAGUGGAAUUCCGAGUGUAGAGGUGAAAUUCGUAGAUAUUCGGAGGAACACCAGUGGCGAAGGCGGCUCACUGGCUCGGUACUGACGCUGAGGUGCGAAAGCGUGGGGAGCAAACAGG